rnacentral:rRNA from 1 species
GAUGAACGCUGGCGGCGUGCCUAAUACAUGCAAGUCGAGCGAACAGACGAGGAGCUUGCUCCUCUGACGUUAGCGGCGGACGGGUGAGUAACACGUGGAUAACCUACCUAUAAGACUGGGAUAACUUCGGGAAACCGGAGCUAAUACCGGAUAAUAUAUUGAACCGCAUGGUUCAAUAGUGAAAGACGGUUUUGCUGUCACUUAUAGAUGGAUCCGCGCCGCAUUAGCUAGUUGGUAAGGUAACGGCUUACCAAGGCAACGAUGCGUAGCCGACCUGAGAGGGUGAUCGGCCACACUGGAACUGAGACACGGUCCAGACUCCUGCGGGAGGCAGCAGUCGGGAAUCUUCCGCAAUGGGCGAAAGCCUGACGGAGCAACGCCGCGUGAGUGAUGAAGGUCUUCGGAUCGUAAAACUCUGUUAUUAGGGAAGAACAAAUGUGUAAGUAACUAUGCACGUCUUGACGGUACCUAAUCAGAAAGCCACGGCUAACUACGUG